ACGUCUUGCAGGUAGAUGCAUAGGUUUAUUAUACAGCUUUAAUAUUUACAUUUUGCACUCUAAGAUUUAAUGUGAGUCUUACAUUGUUCUUUCACUAAUCCACAGGCUGUUCAAAGAUGGUUAUCCAAAACAGAGUUUGGAGUGCAUGGACCUUCCAACUUGAACAUUGAAUUUCUUUCUUUUGCAAACUGAAGACCUGUAAAACUGAGGCAGAAUUUGAGACCACAGCCAAGAAGUUCAACAAAAUGUUCAGACAACACCCAGCUGAGUGGCAGUACUUCACAAGACACUGGGAAGAGAUUGGUCACAUGUGGUCCGAUUACGGACGUUGCUUUGAGCAUUUGAACACUGAUACGAACAAUGUCAUUGAACGGCUCAAAUACCAGUUUCUUGGAGGCGUUAGGAAUCUGCGUAUACUGUAGAUGACCUAAUACAUGUCCUCCUUGAAAAAGCAGAAGAUUACUUCAGCAUAAUGAGGGAGUUACAGUAUGCUGGGCGUGUGAAGAACAAAUUCAGCCACCCCCCUCUUUGCAGACAGAAGCAACAACUGAAUGUGUAAACGACAGUUUGGCACCGAUUUCUUCACACAGUGCAGUGUCAUUGCCAACCUUAGCAAGUGGUACCCAUGUGUAACUACUGUUGAGAAAUUAGUGUUGCAAAAAUCAUCAGUAGCUGGACAGAAACUCCUGAUCCAAUAAAGGAAAUGAUUGAUGGGUUACAUUUUCAUGUUUUAGAGGCACACCGGGGCAAAGAAAGCAAGGACCCCUACCCCGCCAUUAUCAAUGAUAACGGCAAGAAAAUCAUGCCAUUAUAUCCAUCUAGAAAACGCAAGGUAGACACCAGGUCGAUCUGCAAAGCCACAACACACCAACAGAGCCCAAAAAACCCUGAUUACCCCGUGAGAAAGCGAUCCAGAGGCUCAGUGAAGACUAAAAAAACAAGGACUACUAGAAUGAGCAUAUUCUAAUCAAACACUUGGACUGUACCAAUUUUUGAAGUUUUGUUGUAUAUAUGUUUAUUUCUUUGACAAGCAAACGUUACCCAAGAACAGGGUAAAAGAAGCUAAGCUAUCAUUAGAUUUUAAUGAUAAAAUCUAAAGCAAGUUGUUUACCUUUUCAAUUAAAAACUCAAUG